GGGCAAAACAAUCUUACACGUUUGGUAGGCUUGUGCUGUUCCUGCAUUCUGCCUGUUUACUCCUGUGUGGAGCAUGUACAGUGGUGGUCCAAAAUGCUGGGAUUCUUGCUUUCUUGGAAUGACAAAACUGUCCUGUCCUCUUUCAGGCUUCUCCUUUCUGCUUUGUAGAGGACCUGUGCUUGAUUAUGAUUCCACUGCAGUAAGUGACUCUAUAAAUCACAGAAAGAUCAAGUCCUUGCCUGAAGAUGUGCAUAUAAAGAUACCCCAUACAGCAGCAUGCCCUGAAGAGCUUGAUGGUAAUUUCAUAGGCGCCAAAAAUAUUAACAUGAUUUCGGAUAGACUGGCAUGUUUCUGAAGUCUUGUAUUUCAAGAUUAAAACUUUAAAAUAUUUAUUUUAUUUAAUUUAAUUCAAUUUAAUUUGAUUUAAUUUUUCCUGUGAUUCUCCCAGGAAUAACUGAUGCAGAAACAAAAGACUUGUCUGCCUUUCAGAUCUGCAAAAUUUUGAACUUUGAAUGGAAGGAUAACAUCGUAUAUGUGAAUAUGACUUCAUAUAGUAAUUUUCAUCACUGAAGAAUUUUUUAUAGACAUUAAUAACAUAACCCUCAACAACAUCUCUGUGGAUAUUGCCCUUUUAUAUGCAGAGAAGGGAUGUAUGGGAAUUCUGUGUUAGAUACUUCUAUCAAAGGAAUGGAAAUCUGAGGAUGAAUUCUUGUAACUAUUGCAAUUUACUUAGGAAUUUACUUGAGGAAUCAUCCCUUAAUCUAAGUCAUAAUAUUUUAAGUAACAAACUUUUUAAUAUUCAGAAUGAACUCAGUUACCAUCUAAGCAGAUAAUAAUUUUGAGAUGCUUUUGGCUACAGAUACCCAUAAAUCACCUUCCCUCACUUUCCUUUCAUACAAAUAAUGUACAUUGCGCUAAGGUGCAAAUACACUUUUGUCUUUUGUUCAAGCAAAAGAGUAAGUGUUGACUUUCAGUGUGCUCAUGUGUAUUCCUGAGUUCACUGUUUGAUUUGUUUGUGGAUAUGGCAGUGAAAAUAUGUUUAAAAUACUGCUGGCUGUUUUUAUGUGCAAGAAUACCAGCCAUGAAGGAAUCUAAACAAGGAGGAGAAGGAAGAGGCAGGAGUUUUUGGCCACACUCUUACUGACAUCAGUACGCCAUUGCUUUGGCCGUAAGAUUGAGUGAAGAUACACUACCUAAGGAAUUUUAGAUAGAAGGUCACAGUUUGAUAGUGAGUACAGGGCAUAUAUACACAUCUGUUUCAUUUCACAUCCGCCCUGUCUCCAGGCAGAACUGCAGGACUCUUCAUGUAUAAAUAAAU